rnacentral:rRNA from 1 species
UACGUAGGGGGCUAGCGUUGUCCGGAAUCAUUGGGCGUAAAGAGCGUGUAGGCGGCCCGGUAAGUCCGCUGUGAAAGUCGGGGGCUCAACCCUCGAAUGCCGGUGGAUACUGUCGGGCUAGAGUGCGGAAGAGGCGAGUGGAAUUCCUGGUGUAGCGGUGAAAUGCGCAGAUAUCAGGAGGAACACCAAUUGCGAAGGCAGCUCGCUGGGACGUAACUGACGCUGAGACGCGAAAGCGUGGGGAACAAACAGG